AUGGGGGAGGGGGCAGGGGGGAGGGGGAGGCUUCGAGGAGAAGAUGGGCUUCUAGCUGGGACCAGCAGGAAGCCAGUGCAGUCAGAAGAAGAGCCUUCUGGGCAGGCCGACCACCAGAGAAAAUGCCCAGCGCUGAGAAAUGGAAGGUCUUUGAGGAACAGCCGGAGGCUGGGCUCACUGGACCGAAAAGGAAAACCAGGGAGCACAGGGCAAGGAGGCUGGAAAGAGGAAGGAGCAGGCAAUGCAGAGCUCCGAAUGCCAAGCAGAGCAUUUGGGGCUUUGACCCUGGAGCCACUGGGGAGCCACGAGCGUGGGUGCCGUGGGUGGUCUGACACACAUUUUGGGAAAACCACAUUAGUGGCUGGCAGAGGGCAGGUUGGGGGGCCGGAGGGACUUGGGGCAGGCCGACCCCUCAGUCGGGUGUGCAGUAAUCCCGGCGUGAGUGAUGAGGCUCACGUCACAGGAGAGAAGAGGCAGAUCCGAGAUGUUCUGGAGCUGAAGGCCUUGGCACCUCUGGUGUGGCCCGGGCAGACGGGCUGCUCCUUCUUCGCACAAGGGAGGGGAGGGUUCUGUUGGGGCCACGUCGAGUCCAAGACAUCUACCGGACAGCCUAUCCGAGACGGCCGAGAGGCAGCUGGGGAGGCAAGCCUGGAGGCCGGCCGAGUGACCGGGGCAGGAGAGGGAGGUUUGAGCAUCCUUAGCUCAGGGGAGGCUGUUAAAUCCACGGGAGCCCGUGGCCUUGUCAGGACCCACGAGACAGGAAGCUCUGCAAGGGUAGCUGCCGUCCUCCGCCGCCCAGGACGGAGAGCAGAGGGCGGCCUAGACCAGCCAUGGCCAAGGGUUGGGGCUUCAGACCCUCUUUGAGGAGAUUCUGGGAGUCUGGAGUCCCACCGCUGAGAGCUCAGGCAGGACCAUCUCCAGAUGGGGGCGGGGUGGGGAGUGCCGUGGAUGGCAUCCUGUGGAAGACAUGGCAAAGCCCUGAGGCCGAGCAGGUCACAGCAUGAGGGUCAUCUGUCCAUCCCAAAGAAAAGCAGGCCCAGCCUGAGGGGGAGGGAAGGAGGAGGGAAAGGGGCGGGGGGGGGGGGGGGGAUCCCCGGGAGCCUAAAGGGCAACUUUCUGUCCCACAGGAGUGGGUCACUUCUGGGGAGGAAAUACCAAC
rnacentral:lncRNA from 1 species